rnacentral:piRNA from 1 species
UGUGCUUUGAAGAGCCUUUGACGGGGUCUC